rnacentral:lncRNA from 1 species
GAAUGAGCUUCUAGAGAGCUACCAAGACAGUCACUACUUCAUCAUCAGUAAAAGCUGUUUACUUCCGAUGUGUAAUAAACCCACGUGACCAUUUGGGGGCGCCAGAGUCCAGCACAGGCCGGCCGAGCCCGCGUUCUUCCCGGGGAAUGCAACAGCUGAUUCACCUGCUCCACGCUGAUUAAUAAUCAAACUACCAUUGUGUGGGGCCUAUCUUCCUACUGGACCUCAAAACCCACCUACUCCACAAGUUUAUCUUCACAAUUAUGAGCUACCUGCUUCACGUCACACUACAGCACCUAAAAGCAAAUAAUAAAGUUUAUUCUUGAGUUAACCUGCCUCUGUGUUCAGCCAAUCCCUCCUGCACGUGAGUGAUGCACCUGGAUGCUGCAUAAGGAGAGAUGGAAAUACCUAAGGUGUGGUCCUUACUUCCAAGGGGCUUAUAGCAGAACGAAGACUCGAAAGCAAGCACACCCACAACCACAACACAGCCGCUGGCACACACAGCAGGAAAGACACCGGGUUUAAUGGAGCAGAGAAAGGGGGCGUCAUCUCCAGGCACAGCUCCAUGAAGAAGAUGACAUUGACCUGGGAGCUCUGAGCCUUCAUAUAAUGAGUAAGCUUUCAGCUGGAAGAAAUCCCAAGUGGAGAAACAGGAAGCUAUAAAAGAGCAAUGGUUUUGGAUUCACAAAACCUGCCUGAGUGAACCUGGGGAUCAUGGCUGUCUACAAGUGGCACCCCAAACAGCAACACAAUCAGGCGCACAACAAGUGGCGUCUGAACACAGGACUUCAAGGAUGUGAGCGAAGAAGGUCUGCUGGAGCAGAGGAACUGAAAUUGACAAGGCAAACACGGACCCCGGAACGAGUCUGCCAGCAGCAGAUAUAAGGAGAUGGAUAAGCCGUGUGGGUGCCCUCAAGGUGUGUGCGACCAUGGAACGGGAGACUUGAGGAGCCCAGGGUGGCCAACCAUGGGCCCGGUCCCUCCGGUACGAGCCGUGAGCCAGCUGAGCCUGAGUGCAAAGACAGAGAGAAGUCCGACCAGAGCCCAAUGACAUCAACCCCCAUAAGCUGGGGACAACUCAAGAAAACCAUGCAGGAAGCUGAGAAACUACUGUAGCAUCAGGGACAGGCCAGAACCCCUGAUUCCAUGUUCUUGGCCAUGUUAGCCAUAAUGUCCAAUGUGAUAUGUUUUCCCUGUGCAGAGGCAAAAACAUAUUGGGCAUAUGUUCCCAAUCCCCCAGUAGUAUGACCUAUUCUUUGGAGUGACACUCCUCCUGAGCUUUAUCAUGAUCAGGGAGAGUGGGCUCCAGGACUCCUGACUCCCCCUGACAUAGAACAGUUAGACUCUCAGAAUAAUGUCAUUAAUUAUACUGCUCCACUGGAAGGACUUCCUUUGUGUAUCACCACAAAGACAUCGCUCAGCCAUAGCUGUCUUAAAUUCAAGCUCAAACAUGGUUGAGUCACUAUGAAAAAGUCAUGCACCUGUUAAGUCUUGGUUCUAUUAACGUAACUGGUGUGCUAACCAACCAUUCCUGGCCCAAUCACCCUAAUUGUGCUGAUUAUACGGAAUGGGUUCCAUUCAGUAUUUCCUACCCCCAUCUAUGGACCCAGUGUCUUGGUCCACUGGCUAGAAAACAAUCUAUGUUAACUGGAGACAUUGUGGAUUGGGGACCUAAAGAUCAAUUAGAUGGAAAAGAUGAAAAUCAGAAAUCAUGGCACAAACUUCGCUGGCAUUGGUGGCAAGCUUUUAAUGCUUCUUCUUUAUACAAUACUGGGAUCCAAUCCCAGUCUGCUACCCAGAUUGCUUGGCACGGAGCAAGCUUUAGCCCGCCUCUUCCUCAGUGGCAUUAUCUAGGGAGGAAAGGACCAAUUAAAGAGAUGAUGUGGAAGGCAGCACUCCCAUUUACGAAUCGCAGCAUCUGGAUUAGGAUACUAUCCAAUAAUAGCAAUAGUAAGCAAUGCAGUCUAAUGUUACAUUUGUAAAGAUAUCACCACUCAAUUUACAGUUUGUGUGUUUAAUCCUUAUGUCUUUUUGGCAGCUAAGAAGGACCAGUUCCAGGUAAACAAUACCGAAUUAACCUGUAAAUCUUGCCAGUUAUAUAACUGCAUUCAUCAUAGCACAUGGCAAACACAUAAUCUCUCUACUUUGAUGAUUUUAGGUUGCAUCCCUGGGUGAUGGAUUCCUGUUAAUCUGUCUGAGCCUUGGGCUGCCACACCUGCCUGGCAUUUUGUGAAACUUCUUCUAACUCAGCUUACUCAUUGUGUCUGUAGAGCCUUAGGCAUGAUAAUUUUUGCUAUCGUUUCCUUGGUCACACUAAUAACUUUUGUCGUGAUGUCUUCUGUAGCUUUGCAUAAUUCUAUUCAAACAGCUCAGUACGUGGAGAACUGGACGCACACAGCCAAACAAGUGUGGCUACUUCAGAAUAAAAUUAACACUGAGUUAUAAGCUUAAGUGGCAAUGUUAAAAUCCAUGGUUCUAUGGUUAGGAGAACAAGUACAAAACUUGCAGUUGCAACAGCAAUUGCGUUAUCAUUUUAAUAACACUCAUAUUUGUGUAAACAACUUAGAAUAUAACCAAAGUGAGUAUCCGUGGGACCUUGCGAAAGCCCAUUUGCAGGGAGCGUUCACAUCCAACAUCACCUUUGAUAUUGGUGAAUUACAAAACAAAAUUCUUGAUUUAAAUAGGCAAACUCAAGAAUUUCAGCCUUCUUUAGAAGACUGGACUGAAUUCCAGCAAGGCCUGGAGAGCCUCAACCCUUGGACCUAUCUAAGGCACCACAUUACCAUCUUAUAUGCAGUUCUUGGAAUAAUGUGGUUUUGUCUCUGUCUUCUGUUCAUAGUCUGUAAAAUUGGAUGGACCGCCAAUUGGAAAAUGAGAGCUGCCCAGCCUGGCCUUACAUUCUUUCAAUUAAUACAUAAACAGAAAAGGGGAGAUGUUGGGUGCUGAAAAGGCCAAAGGGAUUGUGACCAACUCAGCAUUCCACUGGAGGCUAUGUGAUCAAACAGCAAACUGUUUAUCAUGAAUGCAGGAUGUGAGCAAACUCACGACUGCGCCUGCCGCCAGGAGGCUUGCUGAGGGUCAUCAUUCCGUGGCACCGGGCUCCUUAAAGUUAUCUACUGGUAAAUCUAGCACCUAUUGUUCAAAGGAUGCAGUCUUGCAAGCUUGCUGUGAAUCAAACUGCCGGCUGACAACCAUCCCCCCUUCUUGUUAUCUCUUUUACCAAUAAAUACGGAGGGCUGUGUAAAGCUUGGGGCCCUUGUCCACUAGAGGCAAGAUGCCCCCUGACCCAUUCUUCCAAA